CUUCUUCUUCUUCUUCUUCUUCUUCUUCUUCUACAGUUCCUUCACCCGACGAGCAGCGGCUGCCUCCCCACCUUCCUAAAUCCUCUUCUUCUUUUUCGUUCAACGUUGGUCUGUAGCCACCGCACGUUGAAGCCUCUCAUCGUCGUCGCCUCGUUCGUCUGCGAUAGUUGAAGCCCAGCCACCUGCCAUCGUCUCUAGCCCUUCUUUCUCUCUCUUCCAGCCGUAGUUCCGAAGCCGUUAGUGUCUCCGGCGUCGUUUCCGUUACAGCUGUGUGCGACUGCGUGCGAGCCACCGCCUUUCACCGUAUAGUGUCGUCAAGCGACCGUCGACGAGCCCCCAAAAAUCAUGAAUCUCUGACAUAAGAACCCCGUGAAACCAAGCCAAGCCACGAACCGAGCCCAGCCGAGCCGCGAACCAAGCCCAGCUGAGUUGCAAACCGAGCCCAGCCGAUCUGCGAGCCGAACCAAGAUGAGUCGAGUCGAGCCGACCCGAGUCACCUCCCAAGCCAAGCCGAUUUUCCAAGCCAAUUUCCUUGUCCAUCGAGCCACUUGAGCCGUAUUUAUCCGUGCCGAGUCUCGGUGGGUUUUUUUUUGUAAGGACACUGUGUUAGAGAGGUGACGCUCGAGUUUUGGGGUUUUACGACAAGCGUAGUAGGAGCCAACUCUCCUCUGCUUGGGUGGAAUCAUUUGGACGUCGAAUUGAACAAGGAUUUUAGCUACAAUUCAGGUAAAGGUAUGGCGAGGGGCAGACCGGCGAGGGGCAAGAAGGAUGCGUGAAGGCCAUGUGGACGCAUCUAGUUUCUUUAUGCUUCCGCUGACGUGUUUGUUAAUUUCUAUUUCUUUUGAGAAUUAAAUGGAGUCAUGGUUAGAACAUUUGAUUGGUUGUUUUGUUUUGGUGAUUAUGUGAAUUAUAUUUUGAAACUUUUGGAAACGUGAUUUAAAAAUAGGGUCCGAAACUAUUUUUGUGAUAUUGUGAACGUUUUUAAUGAAUC